rnacentral:rRNA from 1 species
UACGGAAGGGGCAAGCGUUGUUCGGAAUCAUUGGGCGUAAAGGGCGCGUAGGUGGUUCUGUAUGUCUACCGUGAAAGCGUACGGCUCAACCGUAUUUUGUCGGUCGAAACUGCAGGACUUGAGGCUGGGAGGGGCUGGUGGAAUUCCAGGUGUAGCGGUGAAAUGCGUAGAUAUCUGGAGGAACACCGGUGGCGAAGGCGGCAUCCUGGACCGGUAUUGACGCUGAGGCGCGAAAGCGUGGGGAGCGAUCCGG